rnacentral:rRNA from 1 species
AACGAACGCUGGCGGCAUGCCUAACACAUGCAAGUCGAACGAAGCCUUCGGGCUUAGUGGCGCACGGGUGCGUAACGCGUGGGAAUCUGCCCCUCGGUUCGGAAUAACAGUUAGAAAUGACUGCUAAUACCGGAUGAUGACGAAAGUCCAAAGAUUUAUCGCCGAGGGAUGAGCCCGCGUAGGAUUAGCUUGUUGGUGGGGUAAUGGCCCACCAAGGCGACGAUCCUUAGCUGGUCUGAGAGGAUGAUCAGCCACACUGGGACUGAGACACGGCCCAGACUCCUACGGGAGGCAGCAGUGGGGAAUAUUGGACAAUGGGCGAAAGCCUGAUCCAGCAAUGCCGCGUGAGUGAUGAAGGCCUUAGGGUUGUAAAGCUCUUUUACCAGGGAUGAUAAUGACAGUACCUGGAGAAUAAGCUCCGGCUAACUCCGU